GCCUCGGUGGCGUAGUGGUCAAGACGCUCCUUUGGUAAACAGGAGAGCGUGGGUUCGAUCCCAGCCGAGGCA
rnacentral:tRNA from 1 species